CGUAGUUCAGUCGGUUAGAGCGUCAGAUUGUGGUUCUGAAUGUCGUGGGUUCGAAUCCCACCG
rnacentral:tRNA from 2 species